rnacentral:ncRNA from 1 species
CAAAGGUUUGGUCCUAGCCUUAUUAUUAAUUAUUGCUAGUCCUACACAUGCAAGUUUCCGCUGUCCGGUGAGACAUGCCCUGAGAGCUCUAAAUUUUUUUAAGCCUACAGGAGUUGGUAUCAGGCACGCUUAAUGCGGCCCAUGACACCUUGCUAAGCCACACCCCUACGGGUUGCAGCAGUGACUAACCUUGGGCCAUAAACGAAAGUUCGACCAGGCCAUAGUAAUUACGGGCUGGUAAAUUUCGUGCCAGCCACCGCGGUCAUACGAUUAGCCCAAAUUAAUGAUCAAACGGCGUAAAGCGUGUUUAAGCUCUAUCAACAAUAAAGUUAAUACUAGACUAGACUGUAAAACGUAACAGUCAGGUAUAAGGUACACGACUAAAGUGACUUUAGCACAGCUGAACACACUACAGCUAAGACCCAAACUGGGAUUAGAUACCCCACUAUGCUUAGCCAUAAACCUAGAUAGCCUAUAAACAAGACUAUUCGCCAGAGAACUACAAGCGAGCGCUUAAAACUCAAAAGACUUGGCGGUGCCCUAAACCCACCUAGAGGAGCCUGUUCUAUAAUCGAUAAACCCCGAUAAACCUUACCUUUUCUUGCCAAUACAGCCUAUAUACCGCCAUCGUCAGCCUACCCCAGUAGAGAAAAAGAGUAGGCGUAAUAAUUAACCAUAAAAACGUUAGGUCAAGGUGUAGCAGAUGAAAAGGCAAGCAAUGGGCUACAUUUUCUAAUUUAGAAGACACGGAUUAUCUUAUGAAAUCUAAGAUAUUAAGGAGGAUUUAGCAGUAAAUUAAGAAUAGAGAGCCUAAUUGAAACAGGCGAUAGGGCGCGCACACACCGCCCGUCACUCUCCUCAAUAAGCACUCAAAUUUAAAUAAAACAAAUAGACAAUAAAGAGGAGAAAAGUCGUAACAUGGUAAGCGUACUGGAAAGUGCGCUUGGAAUA